UACGAAGGGGGCUAGCGUUGCUCGGAAUUACUGGGCGUAAAGGGCGCGUAGGCGGCCCAUCAAGUCAGGCGUGAAAUUCCCGGGCUCAACCUGGGGACUGCGCUUGAGACUGGCGGGCUAGAGGCCGAGAGAGGGUGGUGGAAUUCCCAGUGUAGAGGUGAAAUUCGUAGAUAUUGGGAAGAACACCGGUGGCGAAGGCGGCCACCUGACUCGGUACUGACGCUGAGGCGCGACAGCGUGGGGAGCAAACAGGAUUAGAUACCCUGGUAGUCCACGCCGUAAACGAUGUGUGCUGGAUGUUGGGAAACCUAGUUUCUCAGUGUCGUAGCUAACGCGGUAAGCACACCGCCUGGGGAGUACGGCCGCAAGGUUGAA
rnacentral:rRNA from 1 species